GUCGCCGGAUGUGGUUUCCUGUCGCCGGGUGUGGUCUCCGCCCCCGCUCGCUAGGCUGGCAUGCCUCGGCGCGCAAGGCUGCAAGCCUCUCGGGCUUCGUUGCUGCGUCCAGCGGGCGCGGGGGCAGAGGGCCGUGAGCAGCUGGGCCUGGGAGGGAUGGGGUCUCCGGGUGUAGGGCUGAGCCGGGACGGGGGCGCCUCUCUUCUUCCCCUCCCGGAGCGCGGUGACCCCCAGGCCGUCCAGGAGCAGCCCCGUUUCCUCACGCCAGGCUGCUGCCUUCGGCGGGCUGUCCGUAGCGGUCAGAGCGGCGGCCCCGCGCCAACCUGCCGAGACUCGGUUCGGCGUGGACCCGCCCCGCGUCUCGCGUGUCUUCAAAUUGCAGCUCCUGAUGUACCCUCGGUUGCCGGUUCCCCUGGAGAGGGAGUUACAGAAGGCUUGGGAGGGAGCGGGAGACACCUGGAGCGGCCGUGACUGACCUCAGCGGUGGGGGUCAGGAAGAGCUCGUUCGGCGGGAGGGCCCUGAGAGUUUCCCCAGACCCGGGAACAGGAAUCCGUCUGCAGGAACCAGCUUCCUGACCAGCAGCACCAGCAGCCCACUCAUUCCUGCAACCCUUGUAUCUGGCCAACCUCCCCUGCAAUAGGACUCCCAGUGACUCUCAGUUGCCUCUGAUCAGUGACCCCAUCACUGACCCUGACCAAGGACUCAUCAGCAACCUUGACAGAUGUCCAAAGUCAUGACCAAUGACAGGACUGAUUUUGAUAAGUUCUCACUAGUGGCCCAUCAAAUAUAUGGAUCAACAUUCUAUAGCCCAGUAAUGACGGAUCAGAGGCCCAUCGGUUAUUUAGACCAAGUCCCUAUUAGUGACUUCUAUCAAAUUUCCAUUGAUGGUCUUGACCAAAGUCCAAUGACCCAUGAAUAACUGAUCAAUAUCCUCCCUAGUGAUCCUUCAGAGAUUCUGGCCUGUGUUUUCCAUCAAUAACCGAGAUCGAUGACCAA